rnacentral:rRNA from 1 species
UUAGAUACCCUAUUAUACUGAUAAAUCCCUUAAUUAUUAAUAGGUAUAGUCUUUAAAUUUAAAGAAUUUGGCGGUGAUUUAAUCUUAUUAGAGGAAUCUGUUUUUAAAUCGAUAAACCACGUAAAAUCUUACUCGUUUUAGUUUAGUUUGUAUACCGUCAUUAUCAGAUGAUUUUUAAAAAAAUCGUGUAAUCAUUGUAAUUUAUAAAAGUAUAAAUUAAAUUAGAUCAAGGUGUAGCUUAUAAAUGAGUUAAAAUGGAUUACAAUAAAGUAUAUUUAAUACGAAAUAAUUAUAAGAAUAAAUGUUAUGAAGGAGGAUUUAAUUGUAAUAGGAAUUUAAUAAGUUCUUAAGAUAUAAGCACUAAAUUAUGUACAUAUCG